rnacentral:rRNA from 1 species
AGCCGAGCGGUAUUCGUCCUUCGGGACGGAGAGAGCGGCGUACGGGUGCGGAACACGUGUGCAACCUGCCUUUAUCUGGGGGAUAGCCUUUCGAAAGGAAGAUUAAUACCCCAUAACAUAUGAUACGGCAUCGUAUUAUAUUGAAAACUCCGGUGGAUAGAGAUGGGCACGCGCAAGAUUAGAUAGUUGGUGAGGUAACGGCUCACCAAGUCAGUGAUCUUUAGGGGGCCUGAGAGGGUGAUCCCCCACACUGGUACUGAGACACGGACCAGACUCCUACGGGAGGCAGCAGUGAGGAAUAUUGGACAAUGGGUGAGAGCCUGAUCCAGCCAUCCCGCGUGAAGGACUAAGGCCCUAUGGGUUGUAAACUUCUUUUAUACUGGGAUAAACCUACUUACGUGUAAGUAGCUGAAGGUACAGUAUGAAUAAGCACCGGCUAACUCCGUGCCAGCAGCCGCGGUAAUACGGAGGGUGCAAGCGUUAUCCGGAUUUAUUGGGUUUAAAGGGUCCGUAGGCGGAUCCGUAAGUCAGUGGUGAAAUCUCAUAGCUUAACUAUGAAACUGCCAUUGAUACUGCGGGUCUUGAGUGAGAUUGAGGUAGCUGGAAUAAGUAGUGUAGCGGUGAAAUGCAUAGAUAUUACUUAGAACACCAAUUGCGAAGGCAGGUUACCAAGUCUUAACUGACGCUGAGGGACGAAAGCGUG